rnacentral:rRNA from 1 species
AUCAUGGCUCAGAAUGAACGCUGGCGGCGUGCCUAACACAUGCAAGUACGAGCGAGAAAGUCUCUUCGGAGAUAAGUACAGCGGCGGACGGGUGAGUAACGCGUGAGAAUUACCCUUUAGUGAAGAAUACCUCUGAGAAAUCAGGGUUAAUACUGCAUACGUCCCUACGGGGAGAAAGGUGGCCUCUUGCUGCCGCUAAAGGAUAAGCUUGCGUACUAUUAGCUAGUUGGUGAGGUAAAGGCUCACCAAGGCGAUGAUGGUUAGCCGGCCUGAGAGGGUGUACGGCCACACUGGAACUUAGACACGGUCCAGACUCCUACGGGAGGCAGCAGUGAGGAAUAUUGCGCAAUGGGCGAAAGCCUGACGCAGCGACGCCGCGUGGAGGAUGAAGGUCUUCGGAUUGUAAACUCCUGUUAAGUGGGAAGAAAGACCUAUUUCUAAUACAGAUAGGGGAUGACGGUACCAUUAGAGAAAGCACCGGCUAACUUCGUG